rnacentral:rRNA from 1 species
GACGAACGCUGGCGGCGUGCUUAACACAUGCAAGUCGAACGGAAAGGCCCUUCGGGGUGCUCGAGUGGCGAACGGGUGAGUAACACGUGGGUGAUCUGCCCUGCACUUUGGGAUAAGCCUGGGAAACUGGGUCUAAUACCGAAUAGGACUCCGGCCUUCAUGGGUUGGGGUGGAAAGCUUUUGCGGUGUGGGAUGGGCCCGCGGCCUAUCAGCUUGUUGGUGGGGUAAUGGCCUACCAAGGCGACGACGGGUAGCCGGCCUGAGAGGGUGACCGGCCACACUGGGACUGAGAUACGGCCCAGACUCCUACGGGAGGCAGCAGUGGGGAAUAUUGCACAAUGGGCGCAAGCCUGAUGCAGCGACGCCGCGUGAGGGAUGACGGCCUUCGGGUUGUAAACCUCUUUCAGCACAGACGAAGCGCAAGUGACGGUAUGUGCAGAAGAAGGACCGGCCAACUACGUGC